GAUGAACGCUGGCGGCGUGCUUAACACAUGCAAGUCGAACGAAAGGCUCCUGCUUGCAGGGGUACUCGAGUGGCGAACGGGUGAGUAACACGUGGGUGAUCUGCCCUGCACUUCGGGAUAAGCCUGGGAAACUGGGUCUAAUACCGGAUAGGACCGCAUUUUGGAUGGUGUGGUGGAAAGUUUUUCGGUGUGGGAUGAGCUCGCGGCCUAUCAGCUUGUUGGUGGGGUAAUGGCCUACCAAGGCGUCGACGGGUAGCCGGCCUGAGAGGGUGUACGGCCACAUUGGGACUGAGAUACGGCCCAGACUCCUACGGGAGGCAGCAGUGGGGAAUAUUGCACAAUGGGCGCAAGCCUGAUGCAGCGACGCCGCGUGGGGGAUGACGGCCUUCGGGUUGUAAACUCCUUUCGCUAGGGACGAAGCGCAAGUGACGGUACCUGGAGAAGAAGCACCGGCUAACUACGUG
rnacentral:rRNA from 1 species